GAUACGUAAAAAAAAAAAUGAGGCAGAUGAAAUUAGUUUGUCUAUACUUAGGCACCCUCUGUGUUUUCCCCUUUGGUGAAUGAGUCUCAGGCUGUGUAAGCUGUGUGUAAGCAAUCCCAGCUGCAUUGUGUAGCACCUCUACAGAGUAAAUACUUCUCUUGUCCUGUCUUACAGUGGGCAUCUCAUCCCUGGACUCGUUGACCACAAGCAUCUGGAGCUGGGAUGGCAUGGGAAAUUCGGAAAUUAAAACCUCAUUCUCACUCUUCUUAUCUGUAGUGACCUCUUCAGCUCCUGGCCAAGUGAAGAGGAGUCACUUGGUUAAAUUCAGAUGUUAAAUGUUGUUUCUAGCUUUUAGUUCUAGUGGCUGUUGUUUAUUUUGGAGAGUAGCAAAAAACCGUUGGAAGCAAUAAUCACAAUAGAACACAUCUUUUAAUUCUUCUGAGGGUUUUAUAGGUCUUUGCAUCUGGCAGAUUAAAAAAAAAAAAAAAAAGAGGAGAGAAAUACACUGUUAAAUCUAAUGGAUAAACUUGUUACACCAAGGAAAAGUUCAGGUUACAGAAAAAUUCAUGUGAAGCAACAUCUGUGCCACUGUAGUGGUGCCUCUGAGGAGGAAGAGGCGUUAGCAGUGAAUGAUCCAGUUGGCACUCUGAUAGAGAAACAGUGUGUCUUUGUAGGUGUAAGGCAUAGAAAUUUGCAAUUAGCUGAAGGUACAUGGAUUUUUUAGCCUUGUGGGCAGACUAAUUUCUCAGGUUUGUUUUUGAUUUGUUUUUGUCGCCAAAAUGUGAAGUUGUUUUGUGUAUUUCAGUUUAUUUUUUCUUCUUGUAAUACGAGAACAACCUGACAGUAAAAGAAAAGUAAGCCAGGUUGUGAAGAGAAAUGCCCAUUGCCUUAGAUUCACAUCCCAGAGGGUCUCCCGAGCGUUCUUGGUUUCUCAGAGCUUUAUGGUGCUUGGCAGCUUUUAGUCCCUUACAGUGAAACUCAUUGCAGUACAAAGCCAUCCACUGAGGCAUUGUGCUUAGGUUUCAGGAGAUAGAGCUUCAAAUUCUAUGAAAUCUGUAAAAUAUGAAGAUAAUUUUUAGGAGUUCAAGGUGAUGAAACAGCAUCCAGUUAGUUACUGUGUAAGCUGACUGUGAAUGGUGUCUGGAGAGUGUUCCCACUGCUCUCCCUGCACCUGCAUUGCAGUAGUACUCACACAUACAUUUCUUAAUUGCUUUCCUGUAAAAAUCCUCUUUGGGUCACUACUGAAAACAGGAUUCCAGGUGACCCAGGCAAUCGAUAACAUUUUAUUUGGUAGGAGUUUUACUCCUAGAUAAAUAUAAAUAGUGGAAAAAAAUAGAAAAAGAAUGAUAGAAAGAAAGAAAGAAACAACAGAAGAUGCUAACACAUCUGAGUAAAUGUAGCGUUGGCAAAUAGAAUCGAGUUAAGAAAGAGUCCAGCUGUAUAAGACAGAAGUGUUUCUUGUGAUGAGGCAUGAGCAAUGCAUAUUGGGGGUGCUACUGAUUUGGAGAACAGUCAUUCUAUUUUUGCACUGUUGUGAGCAACUACUGCACAAUACCUCCUCGGGAAGGCUGUUACAAUGCUACCCAUUAUUUCAGCUAUACUUAAUAUUCUGCUGGCAUUUUCUUGAUAAAUCUAUUUUUAAAGGCUACAAUGAGGUGGUAAAUGUUCAUUCAACAACAAAGAUGGCUGCAAUUAACAAUUCAAAAAUUUCUGAAAGAGAAGCAGAAGUUCAUGAAAACAGUAGUGGAUUCUGGCAUUUUUGUACAGGAAUUCAAGAAAUAUAUGAGUAGUGUAGGGAUGGAGCAUGCCUGUGGUGUGGGUCUGUACAGAUCACAGAGCAACAUCUCUGUCCACCCUCUUCUGUAAGAGAGCUGCAGAGUUGUCUUUAAGACCAGAAAGCUGUGAUUAUCCAAAAUCUUUGAUCCAUUAGAAAUUCCAUCUGGAGCGCAGUGAGUGAUCUGAGAACCAGUUAGUGCUUUUCAAGUGUCACAUGUUGGCUGCUUGAUUGACCAAAUUUGACUGGAAGAGCCUGAUUUCUGUGAGGCUGUACAGACAUACUGGGUGCCAUCAUUAUGUCCCCAUCUCUCACCCCUUUAAAUUCUCCGGUUGGUCUUCUUCAAGACCUCAUUUGUCACACGCAACCCCAUGUCAACUGGUUCCAGGGGACACCUGUAUCUCUUCUUCAUUUGGGAACAGUACACAUGGUAUCAUAACUUUGCCAAAGUCUCACAGUGUAAUGAACUCAUUGCCUAGGAGUGUUCCAACAGAUUGGUCACCAAUACAAUAUUAAGGGCAGAGACUGUCUGAAGAGAAGUCUGAAGAGACUUACACCAUGGUUAGGUAUAGCUGUCCUUGCUCCCAGAUGAAAUUUUUACUCCGAGUAAAGAAGUUUCAGACUUUUACUAUUUUUGCCAUUCAGUUCUUUCUUAUAUGCCAGGUUGAAUGUUGGGUGGAGAAAGACAACACUCAGCUUUCCGGAGAAGCAUCUUGUAUGUCCACAUAGGGUUCCAGCGUUCUCUGAUCUCUGGUAAACUUGCACUACAGCGGGACAUCCACUAGUCAAGAUCAUGCCACCAGUGUGAGAGACCAAGCUCUUUCCAAAGACAGUGUCAGAUCUUGGCGUGGUCCCUGUCCUGUAGCAGACAGUACUUAUGCCUGAAACACUCCAGCAUGUGCUCUUUGCAUUGGGACAGCCAGUCCUCCUCUUCCUCCUUCUGCCAGCAGGCCCCCGCUCAGAGGCAGACAAGACUCAACUAUUCAUCCUCAGGCCAUCACCAUUUGAGAACUGGCUAUGAGCCCUCUGGCUGAAUUGCACACAUCUGCCAACUGAUGUGAAAGAGGGCAUGUUCCAGGCACACAGCCCAGAUCAUGGAGAAGAGAGUUCUUCCUUCCUCCUUCUGGACAGCAAGCAGGAUUUGGACAUUGAGUCAUCAGAGCAAAUGGCUUGGAGUGAAUGGAUUUUCCUGUAUCCUGCUACCUGUCCAGCAGAAGUUGUGGCUGCAGAGAGCACACCAAAGCGUACAGAUCUCCUGGUUCCAACAGUCCUGUACAAAUGCCACUAGACCAUAACAAAGCUCAUCAAGAGAGAGGAUGAUCAGGAAGCAUAGCUGCAGCAGAACUGUGUCAAGCAGAGCUUUGGUACAUUUAAGAGCAUCUGAGGUAGAAGAACCAUGUGGCACAUGAGGAGUUCCACAUACUUAUGACUCCAGACACUAAAGCUUGACUGCCAUGUUCCUGGGAAUCUCUAUAAUCCCCUAUCACAUGGAGACAGCCAGUCAUCCCACAUCAUUUCCAAGCACAAGUACUUACAGGACCUGAUAUGCAGGCUAGCUUUAUGAGCUUUUGUAUUCCUAAGCCUAAGAAUUCUACUCAGAAAGCCGCAUCAAAGGGCAAUGCAGCUUUGGAAGGAGUGCUUCCAGACUUCUUGAAACCAGCAGUAGAAUGGUCAUAGCUCUUGGUGGGACUGAAGGUCACAGUAUUCUCUAUUUUGUUUCUGUUUUAUUUUUAUUGUAUUUGACCUUGACAUUUGCAGGAUGAGAUGCCUGGUCACAGUCUGAUAAUUCUAAUUAAGAUUGAAUAUUUUGUAAUGUAACGAGUAAGUGGCCAUAGAAAACUAGAAACCUUCGUAUUUUGCUUAGUACAUUUUAACAUUAGCUGGUGCUAAAUGGAUACUAUUUAUUAGGUUGUGCUUGAGAACACUGAAUAUUUUUGUUCUCCUUCUCUUCAUAAUCAGCCAGAGCAAUAGAGAGCAAGGAAGGGCAUUUGGGGCAUGUAAUUUGUUUGAACUUGAGGCCUUGCUCCCUAAAAAUGGCCAGUUUCCUAGUCUUGUGUGGCAGCAUUAUCUUGACCUGAUGUGGUCCCACUAAAUAAAGGUACGCUUAUGAAAAUUUGUGUAUGGGGCAAUUCCACUUCUGGACUCUGAAUAUCUGCCGAAUUCAACGAGAACAGCUGUCCUCUUUUUAAAUGUGUUUUCUUCUUGCUUGUCAGUGUCCCAUUGUGGUAGGUAAUCCACAGAGUUAAAUAUUGGUUGUCUGUCAGGUCUGUGCCUUGCCAGUAUCUGUUCUAUAUAAGGUAAUACAGUUGCCUUGCACUUGUCAAACCGGAAAACAAAUGUGGUAAUGAAUAAAGUAAUUUUUGCACUGUA